rnacentral:lncRNA from 1 species
CCUCUUGCUGCUAUAACAAAUACAAAUGGUCUCGGUUUCACUAAUAGACGGGGCAAGGGUAGAGCCAAGUCGUUAUGUGUUGUUCGAAGAAACGACGAAGAGUGUCACGGCUCUAAAGAAAACUGUGACAACUCUGAACAGAACACUCCAAUAGCUUCAAAUGGUGCGCAUGGAGAUGUUACUAACCUUACCCAUGCUGAAGUUGUAAGAAAGCGUGCUAGAAACUGGUAUGCAUCAUUGACCCAGGAGCAAAAGGAUGAGAGGAACAAGAAGGACCGUGAGAGAAGAAAACGGAAGGAGGAGGAAAGUCAAGUUUUAAAUAAGUCUGCAACCAAUAGUGGUGUAGCCCCACUUGGCAAGCUUUCCAAUAUAAGUGCUGCUGAUUUAAUGACAUGCCAAUUGGAAGUGAACGAUUCUUCUACGUUGCAUAAAGAACGAAGUGAUGCUUCCCAUCUUAAUAUCACACCCAGACGUCUCCCAUUUACAAUCAUCAACAAUGUAGCUCACUAUGGUCCAAAUGAAGUUCCAAUGAGCUGCGUAAUUCAAACAACCCAAAACAGAGACGUCAAGUUGCGUAAUGCAACUCUUACACCGGAGCAGAAGCAAGCUAAGGUCGAUCGACAGAGAACAAGACGUCAAGCACUAACCAAUGAACAGAGACUAGAGAUGAAUGAUCGCCGUAGGGUUGCGAGGCAAACUCUGCCGGAUGUGGAAAUACAUGAUAUGAAUGCUCGCCAGCGAUCAAGACGACAAAGUGUUACUCCUGGAGAACGGUCUGCUCAUCUGGCACGACAUAAUGAACUGUAUGCAACUAGGCGUGACAAACCAUGCGCUCAAUCGAUUGCAUUGGAGUGCCCUGAGGAUUGUAGCUCGUCGUUCCUAAAUCCAACGCCUUCCUUUGAAACAACCGGUGAUGUGCCAGCUACAUCGAGCCUGCAAACUGAACUUGCUGCAGAUCAUCUUGCACGAUCGUCUAACUUUGAUGAUGGUGUUUUCUGA